rnacentral:rRNA from 1 species
AUUGAACGCUGGCGGCAUGCUUUACACAUGCAAGUCGAACGGUAACAGGCCGCAAGGUGCUGACGAGUGGCGAACGGGUGAGUAAUGCAUCGGAACGUGCCCAGUCGUGGGGGAUAACGCAGCGAAAGCUGCGCUAAUACCGCAUACGAUCUAUGGAUGAAAGCGGGGGACCGUAAGGCCUCGCGCGAUGGGAGCGGCCGAUGUCAGAUUAGGUAGUUGGUGGGGUAAAGGCUCACCAAGCCAACGAUCUGUAGCUGGUCUGAGAGGACGACCAGCCACACUGGGACUGAGACACGGCCCAGACUCCUACGGGAGGCAGCAGUGGGGAAUUUUGGACAAUGGGCGCAAGCCUGAUCCAGCAAUGCCGCGUGCAGGAAGAAGGCCUUCGGGUUGUAAACUGCUUUUGUACGGAACGAAACGGUCCUGGUUAAUACCUGGGGCUAAUGACGGUACCGUAAGAAUAAGGAUCGGCUAACUCCGUGCCAGCAGCCGCCGCAGUAA